rnacentral:rRNA from 1 species
GAUUGCAGGCUGCAACUCGCCUGCAUGAAGCUGGAAUCGCUAGUAAUCGCAGAUCAGAAUGCUGCGGUGAAUACGUUCCCGGGUCUUGUACACACCGCCCGUCACACCAUGGGAGUCAGUAACGCCCGAAGUCAGUGACCUAACCGCAAGGGAGGAGCUGCCGAAGGCGGGACCGAUAACUGGGGUGAAGUCGUAACAAGGUAUC